rnacentral:rRNA from 1 species
AUCGAACGCUGGCGGCAGGCCUAACACAUGCAAGUCGAACGAAGUGGCGGACGGGUGAGUAACACGUUGGAACGUGCCUUUAGGUUCGGAAUAACUCAGGGAAACUUGUGCUAAUACCGAAUGCCUUUAGAGCGGCCCUCGUCUGCUUAGCUAGUGGGUGAGGUAAAGGCGCACCAAGGCGACGAUCAGUAGCUGGUCUGAGAGGAUGAUCAGCCACAUUGGGACUGAGACACGGCCCAAACUCCUACGGGAGGCAGCAGUGGGGAAUCUUGCGCAAUGGGCGAAAGCCUGACGCAGCCAUGCCGCGUGAAUGAUGAAGGUCUUAGGAUUGUAAAGUACUUUCAGCGGGGAGGUGUGGUUAAUAACCACAGCAAUUGACGUUACCCGCAGAAGAAGCACCGGUACUCGUGCCAGCAGCCGCGGUAAUAC